UCCGUAGUCCUCAUUUUCAAGACAAUGAAAGGGCAGAAAGUGACCCCGAUACGAGAUCAGGAAUAUUCUACAUGGCAUUACCACUGCUUUUGGUCGGGCCUUUGUUCCUUUCAAGGAUGUCUGUAUAGAUGAAUCCUUGAUGCUGUGGAAAGGUGCUUGUGGUACUGUGCGGGCCAACAGGAAGAGGAUGCCAAACUUCACCUGCAAAAUCAUAAAGGGAUAAGUUGAGUUCAAGGAAAACGGUCAGCAGCUUGCAGUCCAAGUAGCAUGACAAAAGGGAAAGGCAUUUCCACUGUCCUUAAAUCCGCAAUGGCUGUGUCCUGGAUUACAAUAGGGAGAUGGGAGCUGUGGAUAAGAGCGACAUGUUCAAAAGUUGCGUGCCGUGUGCAAGAAACACUGACAAGGACAUAUUUUUUCACCUUGCUGUCCUCAAUGGCUUCAUUGUCCAUCUCCAACUGUCAGGGAAGACAAUGCCUUAUCAGGAGUACAUAACGUUCCUGAUACGGGAGAUUCUUGACGUGCACCACACAGGUCGGCAUUCAUCAACUGGUGGCCGCCCUGCCUUAGACAAUCCUUUCGGUCUGACAGGCAGGCACUUCCUCUCUGAACGCAUGCGUAGUGCAUUGUGGGAAGGCAAGCAAAGCAAAUCAAGUGAACCAAACUAAGCAUUUUUUGCGAGCAGCGGCCAAUCUGAUUAUUUCUUGUAAUGUACCAAACUUGUGUCAUUGUAAACAUUUCGAGCUUUCACAGUUUCAAGAUGGAGAAACUUAUCAUCUGUGUAGCUAGCUGC